rnacentral:rRNA from 1 species
GAUCGGCCCGCGUCUGAUUAGCUAGUUGGUGGGGUAACGGCCCACCAAGGCGACGAUCAGUAGCUGGUCUGAGAGGAUGAUCAGCCACAUUGGGACUGAGACACGGCCCAAACUCCUACGGGAGGCCGCAGUGGGGAAUAUUGGACAAUGGGCGCAAGCCUGAUCCAGCCAUGCCGCGUGAGUGAUGAAGGCCCUAGGGUUGUAAAGCUCUUUUGUGCGGGAAGAUAAUGACGGUACCGCAAGAAUAAGCCCCGGCUAACUUCGUGCCAGCAGCCGCGGUAAUACGAAGGGGGCUAGCGUUGCUCGGAAUCACUGGGCGUAAAGGGUGCGUAGGCGGGUCUUUAAGUCAGGGGUGAAAUCCUGGAGCUCAACUCCAGAACUGCCUUUGAUACUGAAGAUCUUGAGUUCGGGAGAGGUGAGUGGAACUGCAAGUGUAGAGGUGAAAUUCGUAGAUAUCCGCAAGAACCCCAGUGGCGAAGGCGGCUCACUGGCCCGAUACUGACCCUGAAGGCACGAAAGCGUGGGGAGCAAAAAGGAUUUAAUCCCCCGGGUAUCCACGCCCAAAACGAAGAAAGCCCCCCCUUUAGUGGGGUUAACCCACUAGGGGCGCACCCAAACGCUUUUAACCUUCCCCCCGGGG